GAAGGUACAGGAGACCACUCGGAGGAAGAGGCGAGAGCCCUGGGAGGAAAGGGGGCCUGUUAGCAGCAUAGGAUUGAGGAGUUGGAAGGGACCUUUAAGACAGCUGGUCAUUAUGCCGACCGGGUGUCCGCACUAAGUUCGGUAUUAAUAUGGUGACCUCCUGGGAGCAGGAGGCCAUCAGGUUGCCUAAGGAUGGGAGAACUGGCCCAGGUUACAAAGGGACCAGGUCAGGACUCCCGCACCAAUUGGUAGUGGGACUGUUCCUGGGCAAUAUAGCAAGAUCUUGGUUCUUAAAAGUAAUAAUACAGAACAGCUUAUUUCCCUCUGGGAAUGGGCUGGCUCAGGGCUACACAGUGAGGGUGGGGGCAGAGGUGGGCCCCCAGUACUUCCCUUGUUGGGUUGUCUGAGGACCCCUCUGGCCUAGAGGAGACGGAGGAGGAUAUCUGGACAGUGAGGAGGAGGAGGUGCCUCGGCCCAUGGUGAACAUCCCAGAGGACGGGGAGAGCCUGGAGGCCAGGUGGCAUUUUUCAAUGACGCUGGAGCCAGUGCCCAGGAAGAGCAAAGGGUGUGCUGCCAGCCCCUGGCUCACCCAGUGGCUUCAUCCCAAAGGACCCCAGGGACUGGGGGAAAGUACAUCAGCCAGGGGGCACUGCCAAAAUGCAUCACUGGGAGAGGAGGACAUCAUCAGGCUGGCCCAGGACCAGGAGACGCAAGUAGGUGAACCUGCUGGAGCUGCAGGGACAGGUGUUGUGGCUUGUGGGCGACCAGAACGAGGGACACGACAAAUUCCUGACCACUCUCCAGAGUCCUGCUGA
rnacentral:lncRNA from 1 species